CUGGCUGGGGUGCUUUGGUUUUCCAUGGCUGAGAUUAUACCCAUUUAACCUGAUCCGGAUAAUACCGGCGGAGGGAAGCGAUAUG
rnacentral:ncRNA from 1 species